GCAAGGACCCGGACGCGACCAGGGGAGGCAGAAGGGACUGGUGACAUUCAGGGACGUGGCCAUAGAGUUCUCUCUGGAAGAAUGGAAGUGCCUGGAACCUGCUCAGAGGGACUUGUACAGGGAGGUGACUCUGGAGAACUUUGGUCACUUGGCCUCACUAGGUAAGGAGAUUGUAUCACACGGGCCAGACGGAAAGCAAGGCAACAGGGACUACAACCAUGGGGUGCAGUUUCCAUCUCUGCCUAAAUGGGUGAGGAGAGGAAACUGUCACAGGAGACGCUACAAACUACAGCCAUAGAGAGAGGCCCGGCCAGCAAUAGCUGUAGCUACUUCCAGAGCUCCUGGGUCAAAGGAGGGAGAGAGGAGGGUAAGAAAUGCCUGGUGCUCUCUCUCCUCCUGUCCACUGAUCUCCAGCUGAUGCUUUCUGUCUGCCAAAGCCAAUGAGAAGCCAUAGGGCAUGGGUAAUGCAGUCCUUACGGUGAGCUGUCGGGAUCCCAGAGCUGGGCACAGAACAAGGCCAGGAGCAUCAAGGAAUAGAUUGGAGGGGAAGGAGGGGUUCAUGGAGA
rnacentral:lncRNA from 1 species